rnacentral:rRNA from 1 species
AAUUGCACAAUGGGCGAAAGCCUGAUGCAGCAACGCCGCGUGAGCGAUGAAGGCCUUCGGGUCGUAAAGCUCUGUACCUCAAGGAAGAUAAUGACGGUACUUGAGGAGGAAGCCCCGGCUAACUACGUGCCAGCAGCCGCGGUAAUACGUAGGGGGCUAGCGUUAUCCGGAAUUACUGGGCGUAAAGGGUGCGUAGGUGGUUUUUUAAGUCAGAAGUGGAAGGCUACGGCUCAACCGUAGUAAGCUUUUGAAACUGAGAAACUUGAGUGCAGGAGAGGAGAGUAGAAUUCCUAGUGUAGCGGUGAAAUGCGUAGAUAUUAGGAGGAAUACCAGUUGCGAAGGCGGCUCUCUGGACUGUAACUGACACUGAGGCACGAAAGCGUGGGGAGCAAACAGGAUUAGAUACCCUGGUAGUCCACGCCGUAAACGAUGAGUACUAGGUGUCGGGGGUUACCCCCCUCGGUGCCGCAGCUAACGCAUUAAGUACUCCGCCUGGGAAGUACGCUCGCAAGAGUG